CUGACGAUAGUGUUGACUUCCUCCUACAGAGCGCGAGCAUAUCUAAAACAUUGUAAUUAAUUAGUUUACAUAUCUUUUCAUAAAAUCUUCAGCUUAUGCUCUUUUCCAUUUAAAGCAGACUUAAUUCACUGUAUUAUGCGGACUUUAUCAGGGAUUGUUCAGACAUAUUUCGAGGAAUAUGAUUUCAGACACUGUUUUCAUCUACCUGUGCGUUCUGUUCACUAGUGGUGUGUUUGAGACACAUGGAGUAAAGACAGUUUCAGUGAUGGAGGGAGAUUCUGUCACUUUAAACACUGAUGUUGAAGUACAGACUGAAGAUCAUAUUCUGUGGACAUUUGAACCACAAAGUAUUCAAAUAGCAGAAAUUAUUAAAAGGGACCAAUUACACUUUGUAUUUGUCAGUAAUGAUGGGAUAUUCAGAGAUAAACUGCAUAUGGACAAUCAAACUGGAUCUCUGACCAUCAGAAACAUCAGAUCUGAACACAGUGGACUUUACCAGAUGCAGAUCAGUAGUUCAAAAGUCUUACUGAAGAGAUUCAAUGUUACUUUGUAUGACUGAAGCUGGUCCCUGGAACUGGAUCUCUGGCCUUCAGGAACAUGAAAACCACAGAAUCUGGACUUUAUCAUCUAAAUAUCGCCGGUCCCAGAGGAAAAGAGUCAAAGACAUUUAAUGUCACUGUUUACAGUGAGUGUUUCGUAUAUGUAAUCUAAAAUGAAAUAGCCUAAUGUGAGAGGUUUAAAAAAUUAUUUUCAUUACAUUUACAGAAUUUAAGAUUUGUCCACUUGCUUUGUGGCCACAAAGGUGCUGUAAUGUUACAGACAUAAAUGUGUUUUUAUAUACCUACUAUAGUGUUUUACAGGCUCCUCGUCCACCUCUACAGUAAGUGACUCCAGAAACUGUUCUUUAUCAUCAGAAAGGUCAUCAGUGACAUUUUGUAUUUUUAAAUUUUUUUAUUUUUUUCAGUUGAGGAUAUGCAACAGAUUUACUUGAUAGAAAAAUAGUUGAUUCAGCAGAAGAGGAUCAUAACGUUCAGCAACACCGAGCUGAUGUCUUUUCUGAACUUGUAUUCUCUUCAUUAUGAUUAAAUAAUAUAAAGAAACCGGUAUUUAGGUCACUUUUUUGGGGGGUAUUGGUGCCUUUUUUGUCAUACAGUUGUCUGUACAUAUAAAAGCUUUUGUUUUCCCCUAAGGCGGUAAAUUAAAUAACAUAGAUCUAAUUCUUAUAUUUUUGGUUAAAACAUUUGGUCUGUAUUUCUACACAGCUAGAGAAGAUAGAGAACGUAUACAUACACUGUUGUUGCACAUUCCUUCAGGAAGUGAAGCAGGAAGUGAAGAGUGCACGUUUUUCAGUUCAUGAUCUGUUUUGACUCAUAACCAGAAAUGUUUGAUUUUUACUUCAAAAAUAUUUGUUAAAUGCAUUUAAAUGCAGGCAAUAUUACAUGUUAAAGACUGUAUGAAUUAUGCUGUAUUAAGAACUACUCAUCGAAAAUAAAGG